UGCCAGCAGCCGCGGUAAUACGGAGGGGGCAAGCGUUAUUCGGAUUUACUGGGCGUAAAGCGCACGUAGGCGGCAAUGUAAGUCACAGGUGAAAGCCCUCGGCUCAACCGAGGAAUUGCCUGCGAAACUGUAUUGCUUGAGUCCGGGAGGGGGGAGCGGAAUUCCCAGUGUAGCGGUGAAAUGCGUAGAUACUGGGAGGAACACCGGUGGCGAAGGCGGCUCCCUGGACCGGUACUGACGCUGAGGUGCGAAAGCGUGGGUAGCAAACAGGAUUAGAUA
rnacentral:rRNA from 1 species